rnacentral:rRNA from 1 species
GACAGAGGGUGCAAACGUUGUUCGGAAUCACUGGGCGUAAAGCGCACGCAGGCGGAUGUGUCAGUCGGGGGUGAAAUCCCGGAGCUCAACUUCGGAACUGCCUUUGAUACAGCACGUCUUGAGUCCGAUAGAGGUGGGUGGAAUUCCUAGUGUAGAGGUGAAAUUCGUAGAUAUUAGGAAGAACACCGGUGGCGAAGGCGGCCCACUGGAUCGGUACUGACGCUGAGGUGCGAAAGCGUGGGGAGCAAACAGG